UCUGUACGGGAAGGAUGAGAAGCUUCGACUAAGGUUCGAUUCGAGCGAAAGCGAGAAAGCGUUGCCGCAGGCAACGACCCGAAGGGCGAAGCGCGCAGCGCUGAGUAAUCCUUCCCCCACCACCA
rnacentral:sRNA from 1 species